CCCACAGCUAUGACCCAGACCAUUAACUGCCCUGGGACAAUAGGAUUACACCUAAAGGACAACAUGGUGUGUGUGCGGGCAAGACAACAAUUCAAGUCUUCUGAAUGUGAUUAUCUGAGUGGACAUUUGGGCAGAUCUCUCAGGUAUGACCUGAUGAAGUUCUGCUGGAUGUGGAGCUUCAAAGACCGGCCUGUGUUGUCAGCCAUCAUCAAGCUUCUGGAGUCCUACACAUUCCUGGCUGGCACUAGACAUCUACAUCCCAGAUGGCAUAGACAUCUUUGACUACACCAAGAGGGCAGGUGUGCUCCUCUAAAUAUCUAGCCUAAAGCAUCACAUUCAUGAAGAGGCUAAAAGCAAGCAGGGGCAGACUGGCCAUCUGGCAUUUCUGGCAUAUGCCAGAUGGCUGGUCCAUUUUUAGCUCAGUGAGCCUGUUAAUGAUAAUUUUCAACCAAAAAAAGUUCUGGCAAUUAUCUGCCGAUAAGCUAGGAUUUGGCCAGUGAGGGGGGCCUCAAAUGGCCUGGUGUGUUAGACGCCAGGGCCGAUUUCUGGUCCCAGUCUGCCCCUGAAAGCAAGGAUUUGGUCCCUUACAAAGUAUGGCUGUAGUUGAUUCUAGGUUCAUGUGUACUGUACUGUGGUAUCAACAUCCAGAGAGAUUUUAUUAAACCGAGAUGAAAUGUUGUAAAUGAUUUAACAUAAGGGUGUGUAAGUAUUGUAUGGCGACUGCAACCUAUAGCCUUAUUGUAAGAUUGCACAAAAUGUUGUACAACCACACUGGGGAUUUUUGGAUGAGUGAGACUUUCAGCACAAAAUGGACGUCAGGAAGAAAAAUCUUCUAAUGUUAUUGUCACAAUCCCUCACCUCACAUGUUUGGUCCAUCAGUAGUGAAUUCUUUUUGAAAUUGUACAGAUAUAAUAAGCGUUCUUGAUGUCAUCUUGUCAUGAAACCAGGCAAGUCAUUAUAAAUCACCACUUUAUUGUCAAAGGUACAGAAUAAAAAAUACAGAUCUUCAUAAUACGUUUACUGGUUUAUAAUUGGGUGAGUAUCACUCUUGUGCAUUGAACUGUAGUAAUGAGGCAUGUAUUGUGGUCAUACAGUUGAAGUCACUGAUCACGCUACGUACAAUUGGCCUUUAAGUGUACUUCACUCCCUCUACGCUGUUGAUUUUGUUCAUAAAAUUGCUUGUCAUUGACCAUGAUGUUAACAAACCAGCAGUUUGGACCACGUGGAGGUGACAUUUAUAGUUGUACUGUAGAGUUGCUGUUGUCAGUCUCAAGACAUUUCAAAACAAACUCGUCACAUUGUCUCCAUCACUCACACACAUCUAAAAUCCUAAAGAGAGGCACAAACCACCAUUUUCAUAACACACCCAGUCAUGCGGAAAUGGAAUAAGUCCUUGCUCGACCGACUGGAUCAAGAACAGGAAUAUCUAGAUAACAUUUGUCAUGACUCAGGCUUAAAAGUAACCGCAAAACUUUCACACUACAGAGCUGAGCCGAACCAAGCCAAGAUGAGCAGGACAAGUUACACAUAAACCAUAGUUACUGGAACAGUGCUGGAAAGGACAGCAGGAAUGGAAAUUAUCCAAGUCAGCACAGUUCGGGCCGGCACUAGUGUUAUGAAAAAAAUUUAAUAAUAAUACAUUCAAAAUACCUUGGGUAAAAAGCAAUUUUUUUGGUACUACUGAAAGUGCAAAGCCUCCUAAAACAGAAGCAGAGGUGCACAAAUACCAAAUAAAAAGCUACGUUCACAGGAGAUAAAAUCUAACCACUCGUGUAAAUCAAAUUGAAAGAUGUCAAACCCUUACUUAGAAUAAAAUCUGCUCAUGUGUUUUGAGUUAAACACGGGAACCAGUUAUCUUACAUGAACGCUCAAUAUUGUAUUCACCAUGGCUAGCCCAUGACAUCUUUUUAAAAUAGUACUGUAAUACUAGUGAUUCAAAUAUCUGGUGGGAACGUAAGCACUAAUACAUUUUGCCUCCAAUGAAAUGAAACUAAUCUCUCGUCGCAAUGGUAGGAGGAUAUUCUUUUUUUUUUUUUUACAAAUUUAGAUU